rnacentral:misc_RNA from 1 species
AGCUCCUUUCUGGGCAUCGUCCAGGUAAAUCCAAAUCUGCAUUAUUAAUAAAUUAGAAUUAACAAAAGGUUUUGCUACAAAUCACCCAAACACCAUUUUAAGUCUUAAGUCUUCGGUGUCGUUUUAUUAAUAUUCGAGAAAGGGAGGACCACGGUGGCUCGCCGCCUCCCGAAAUUGAAGGAGACGUGGUCUACGCCAAAUCGCUAAAUUAGAUUUGCACGAAACUAAAGGACAUAGCAAAGAUAGACGCUUGAUAUUUGCGAUUUAUAUGGUUACCACAUAAAGUCCUUGGU